rnacentral:rRNA from 1 species
GACGAACGCUGGCGGCGUGCUUAACACAUGCCAGUCGAACGGUUAAGCGCCUUCCUUUUUGGUGGGUGUGGAUGAGUGGCGAACUGGUGAGUAACACGUGAGUAACCUGCCCCCUUCUUCUGGAUAACCGCAUGAAAGUGUGGCUAAUACGGGAUAUUCUGGUUCUGUCGCAUGAUGGGUCUGGGAAAGAUAUUGUUUCGGUGGGGGAUGUGCUCGCGGCCUAUCAGCUUGUUGGUGGUGUGCUGGCCUACCAAGGCGGUGACGGGUAGCCGGCCUGAGAGGGUGGACGGUCACACUAGGGCUGAGACGCGGGCAAGACUCCUACGGGGGGCAGCAGGGGGGAAUAGUGCACAAUGGGAGGAAGCAUGAUGCAGCGACGACGCGUGAGGGAAGGAGGCCUUGGGGUUGUAAACCUCUGUCGACAGUGAAGAAGGCAUGCAUGGUUUGUAGGUGGGUUGACGGUAGCUGGAUAAGAAGCGCCGGCUAACUACGUG